rnacentral:rRNA from 1 species
GAGUUUGAUCCUGGCUCAGGAUGAACGCUGGCGGCGUGCCUAACACAUGCAAGUCGAACGAAGCUUGACGGAUGAUUUCUUCGGAAUGAGACCUGAUAUGACUUAGUGGCGGACGGGUGAGUAACACGUGAGCAACCUGCCUUUCAGAGGGGGAUAACGGCUGGAAACGGUCGCUAAUACCGCAUGAGACCACAGCUUCACAUGGAGCAGCGGUCAAAGGAGCGAUCCGCUGAAAGAUGGACUCGCGUCCGAUUAGAUAGUUGGCGGGGUAACGGCCCACCAAGUCGACGAUCGGUAGCCGGACUGAGAGGUUGAACGGCCACAUUGGGACUGAGACACGGCCCAGACUCCUACGGGAGGCAGCAGUGAGGGAUAUUGGUCAAUGGGGGAAACCCUGAACCAGCAACGCCGCGUGAGGGAAGACGGUUUUCGGAUUGUAAACCUCUGUCCUCUGUGAAGAUAGUGACGGUAGCAGAGGAGGAAGCUCCGGCUAACUACGUGCCAGCCGCCGCGGUAAUUC